AGGCAAACCAGGGUCACUUUUACACCAUUCCAGGUGCAGGAGCUGGAGAAUGUGUUCCAGCAGACUCACUACCCAGAUGUGAACACCAGAGAGCAGUUGGCCUCAUGUCUGCACCUCACUGAGGGACGCAUACAGAUCUGGUUUCAGAACCGUCGAGCUAAAUGGAGGAAAAGUCAAAGCUUAAAGGAUGCCCAGCAAGCAUACGCAUCUAUUAACCCCCUGCUCUAUUAUGAGAAGCCACAACUGGUGGCAGCGUGUUGGCUGCCAUUUUGCUCACAUGUGUCGCUGCAAUCAAGAUUGUUCCUCACAGCAAAGUCACCCCCCACACAUAGGACAUGUCACAGGAGUCUGUAUUUGGCGGCCGACAGCCAGAAAGGGACCACUCCUGUACAUGAUGACACAAUCAGGUUGUGACA